rnacentral:rRNA from 1 species
UCGAGAAUUUUUCGCAAUGGGGGAAACCCUGACGGAGCGACGCCGCGUGGAGGAUGAAGGUCUUCGGAUUGUAAACUCCUGUCAUUGGUGAACAAGGUACUGCCGGUAACUACGGUGGUGCUUGCUAGUAGCCGAAGAGGAAGGGACGGCUAACUCUGUGCCAGCAGCCGCGGUAAUACAGAGGUCCCGAGCGUUGUUCGGAUUCAUUGGGCGUAAAGGGUGCGUAGGCGGUCUUCUAAGUUUGAUGUGAAAUUCCGGGGCUCAACCCUGGCAUGGCAUUGAAUACUGGAGGACUAGAGUACCGGAGAGGAAACUGGAAUUUACGGUGUAGCAGUGAAAUGCGUAGAGAUCGUAAGGAAGACCAGUGGCGAAGGCGAGUUUCUGGACGGUAACUGACGCUGAGGCACGAAGGCCAGGGGAGCAAACGG